AGCUGUUCGUGGCAGUACAUUGCGGAGCAUAGAACGAAACCGGGUGUGGAACACCGCGUCCCAAGGAUAGCCAUCUUCAGAGAUACGGCUCAUGACCCAGGCCAGGUACAUGGUAAGCAGAGAGCAUCACACCUGAGCAGCAUUCUUACUCAGCUCAACAGCAAUAUCUGAGCCCGAGUUUCCCAUUCCAAUCACCAGGAUGCGUUUUCCCUCAAAUCCAUCUGGAUGCUUGUAUUGGCGGCUAUGGAAAUAUUGGCCUUUGAACCUCUCGAUACCUUCAGGGGGAAGAAGAGAGAAGUCUGUGCGCUCCAGAGCAACUAUGUCAAGCUAAUUUCAAUAAAACUGCAUUGCCAGCUUUUCCUUUCUGGAGUUAAUA
rnacentral:lncRNA from 1 species